CUGUCACGCCCCGGGACCCAGCGGAAGCCCGCCCGGCACGUGCCCAGACCCGCCAUACGUCUAAAACAUAUAAGGCGUCUAAAAACAACAAUAAUAAAAGCAAUAGUAAAAGACAUCUAGGAGUAUCAGAGCAUAAUAAAUGUCUAAAUGCUACAACAAAGGAUAAGGAUAAAACUGUAAAUCCACUAAAUAGAACAUAAAGUGAUACAAGGAAAUCCCAGAUACAAGUACUAUAGGUAGAUACAUAGGUAGUCUCUAUACAUGGAUAAAAAAAUCUCUCACUCUCUCUCAACUACAAAAAGGAGUAAACCACCUAAGCAAAGUACCGCUCCUCGCUAGCUAGCUAAGCGAUCCCCUUGCCGCGAUCCCGUGCCUCCGCCGGUGCCGAAGGCUCUGAAAAAUAAACCAUAAAACAAGGGCGUGAGAACUAUUAAAA
rnacentral:lncRNA from 1 species